rnacentral:rRNA from 1 species
GACGAACGCUGGCGGCGUGCCUAAUACAUGCAAGUAGAACGCUGAAGGAGGAGCUUGCUUCUCCGGAUGAGUUGCGAACGGGUGAGUAACGCGUAGGUAACCUGCCUGGUAGCGGGGGAUAACUAUUGGAAACGAUAGCUAAUACCGCAUAAGAGUAGAUGUCGCAUGACAUUUGCUUAAAAGGUGCACCUGCACCACUACCAGAUGGACCUGCGUUGUAUUAGCUAGUUGGUGAGGUAACGGCUCACCAAGGCAACGAUACAUAGCCGACCUGAGAGGGUGAACGGCCACACUGGGACUGGGACACGGCCCAGACUCCUACGGGAGGCAGCAGUAGGGAAUCUUCGGCAAUGGACGGAAGUCUGACCGAGCAACGCCGCGUGGGUGAAGAAGGUUUUCGGGUCGUAAAGCUCUGUUUUAAGAGAAGAACGAGUGUGAGGGUGGAAAGUUCACACUGUGACGGUAUCUUACCAGAAAGGGACGGCUAACUACGUG